UGAUGACAUUCUCCGGAAUCGCUGUACUGUCUUGAUGAAAGUACUUUUGAACCCUUUUCCAUCUGACUACGAGCUUUCUCGGC
rnacentral:snoRNA from 14 species